CAAUAGCGUAUAUUAAAGUUGUUGCGGUUAAAAAGCUCGUAGUUGGAUUUCUGUUGAGAACAGGCGGUCUACCUUAUGGGUAAGUAUCUGCAUUGGUCUCGGCAUCUUCUUGAAAAACGUUUCUGCGCUUGAUUGCGUGGAGCGGGGUUCAGGACUUUUACUUUGAGGAAAUUAGAGUGUUCACGGCAGGCAUACGCCUUGAAUAUAUUAGCAUGGAAUAAUAGAAUAGGACUUUGGUUCUAUUUUGUUGGUUUCUAGGACCGAAGUAAUGAUUAAUAGGGACAGUUGGGGGCAUUAGUAUUUAAUUGUCAGAGGUGAAAUUCUUGGAUUUAUGAAAGACUAACUACUGCGAAAGCAUUUGCCAAGGAUGUUUUCAUUGAUCAAGAACGAAAGUUAGGGGAUCGAAGACGAUUAGAUACCAU
rnacentral:rRNA from 1 species